rnacentral:misc_RNA from 1 species
UACAGAGGGUGCAAGCGUUAAUCGGAAUUACUGGGCGUAAAGAGCACGUAGGUGGUUUGGUAAGUCAGAUGUGAAAUCCCCGGGCUUAACCUGGGAACUGCAUUUGAUACUGCUUGGCUAGAGUUUAGUAGAGGGAAGUGGAAUUCCACAUGUAGCGGUGAAAUGCGUAGAGAUGUGGAGGAACACCAGUGGCGAAGGCGGCUUCCUGGACUAAAACUGACACUGAGGUGCGAAAGCGUGGGGAGCAAACAGG